AGAGUUUGAUCCUGGCUCAGAUUGAACGCUGGCGGCAUGGCUAAAACAUGCAAGUCGAACGAGAACCCCGCAAGGGGGGACAGUGGCGGAAGGGUUAGUAACACCAUCGAACGUACCCCGAGGUGAGGGAUAGGCAUGGGAAACUGUGCGUAAUACCUCAUGAUCUCCAAGGAGCAAAGGCUUGCCGCCUUGGGAGCGGCGAUGGUCCUAUCAGGUAGUUGGCGGGGUAAUGGCCCACCAAGCCGAAGACGGGUAGCGGGUGUGAGAGCACGGCCCGCAACAUCGGGACUGAGACACUGCCCGGACUCCUACGGGAGGCUGCAGUAACGAAUAUUCCGCAAUGCGCGAAAGCGUGACGGAGCAAUGCCGCGUGCAGGACGAAGCAGCUUCGCUGUGUAAACUGCUGUCAGGGGCUACUAACUUAUGAAGAGCCUCAGAGGAAGGACCGGCUAAACUCGUGCCAGCAGCCGCGGUAAUACGAGUGGUCCAAGCGUUAGUCGGAAUCACUGGGCUUAAAGGGUGCGUAGGCGGAUCGGAAAGCGUCUUGUGAAAUCCCCCGGCUCAACCGGGGAACAGCAGGGCGAACUACCGGUCUUGAGGAAGGUAGAGGCCGGCGGAACGAUCGGUGGAGCGGUGGAAUGCGUAGAGAUCGAUCGGAACGCCAAAGGUGAAGACAGCCGGCUGGGCCUUUCCUGACGCUGAGGCACGAAAGCGUGGGGAGCAAACAGGAUUAGAUACCCUGGUAGUCCACGCCCUAAACGAUGCGCACUAGACUGGUGCGGCUCUCACGCCGUAUCGGUCGUAGAGAAAUUGAUAAGUGCGCCGCCUGGGGAGUACGGUCGCAAGGCUAAAACUCAAAGAAAUUGACGGGGGCUCACACAAGCGGUGGAGCAUGUUGCUUAAUUCGAAGCAACGCGAAGAACCUUACCUGGGUUUGACAUGCAUGGAUUAGUUCCUGGAAACAGGGAUGACGCCUGCAAGGGUGGAACAUGCACAGGUGCUGCAUGGCUGUCGUCAGCUCGUGCUGUGAAGUGUCGCGUUAAGUCGCUUAACGAGCGCAACCCCUGUCGCUAGUUGCCAACAGGUAAUGCUGGGGACUCUAGCGAGACUGCCGGUGUCAAACCGGAGGAAGGCGGGGAUGACGUCAAGUCCUCAUGGCCCUUACAUCCAGGGUUGCAAACGUGCUACAAUGGCGAGUACAGAGCGAAGCAAGGCCGCGAGGCGGAGCAAAUCGCAAAAAACUCGCCCCAGUUCGGAUUGCAGGCUGCAACUCGCCUGCAUGAAGUCGGAAUCGCUAGUAAUCGGAGAUCAGCUACGCUCCGGUGAAUAUGUUCCUGAGCCUUGUACACACCGCCCGUCAAGUCAUGGGAGCCGGUAGUGCCCGAAGUCGCCACGAUACUGUGGUGCCUACGGCAAGAUCGGUGACUGGGACUAAGUCGUAACAAGGUAACCGUA
rnacentral:rRNA from 1 species